AUUGACAUUCUAAUGCAAUCCAAUUCUAAUUUCUUCUUCAAGAGGCCAUGGAGAGGAAUGUAUGAGAGGAUCUAUUCUUUGUAGUAAUUAACUAUCUUCAUAUUACUGGAAGGAUAUGGGAUCCUAACGAAUGGAAGUAAAAAUAUAGUUUCAAGACCCUACCGGAAUAAAACAUGGUUUUUAAUACAAGAAACCAAUUGAUCUGUUGAGUUGUCAAGCUUUGAGGAUUGAAUAGGAUAAGGAGAUCGUCACAGUUUUAAGUUUAAGUCAAAUUCAAACUCAGAAAGUCCAUGCCUAGGAUGGAACAUUGGACAUCAUUAUAACGAACUUCCUUCUUAAAGAGCGAAUCGAAAUAGAUUAUAUUAAUCCUUGUUUUUGUAAAUAUAAAUGAUAAAAAUAAA
rnacentral:lncRNA from 1 species